rnacentral:rRNA from 1 species
GUCCACGCCGUAAACGUUGGGCACUAGGUGUGGGUUCCAACCAACGGAAUCCGUGCCGUCGCUAACGCAUUAAGUGCCCCGCCUGGGGAGUACGGCCGCAAGGCUAAAACUCAAAGGAAUUGACGGGGCCCCGCACAAGCAGCGGAGCGUGUUGCUUAAUUCGAUGCGACGCGAAGAACCUUACCUGGGCUUGACAUGCAGGGAAAAGCCGUAGAGAUACGGUGUCCUUCGGGGCCUUGCACAGGUGGUGCAUGGCUGUCGU